rnacentral:sRNA from 1 species
CCAGCGCUGACUGCGCCGCGGAGAAAGCCAGUGGGAACCCAGACCCAUUGGACACCCGCGUCCCCGCUCGGCCUGGCCAGGCCCCGCGCUAUGGAGUUCCUCUGGGCCCCUCUCUUGGGUCUGUGCUGCAGUCUGGCCGCUGCUGAUCGCCACACCGUCUUCUGGAACAGUUCAAAUCCCAAGUUCCGGAAUGAGGACUACACCAUACAUGUGCAGCUGAAUGACUACGUGGACAUCAUCUGUCCGCACUAUGAGGAUCACUCUGUGGCAGAUGCUGCCAUGGAGCAGUACAUACUGUACCUGGUGGAGCAUGAGGAGUACCAGCUGUGCCAGCCCCAGUCCAAGGACCAAGUCCGCUGGCAGUGCAACCGGCCCAGUGCCAAGCAUGGCCCGGAGAAGCUGUCUGAGAAGUUCCAGCGCUUCACACCUUUCACCCUGGGCAAGGAGUUCAAAGAAGGACACAGCUACUACUACAUCUCCAAACCCAUCCACCAGCAUGAAGACCGCUGCUUGAGGUUGAAGGUGACUGUCAGUGGCAAAAUCAGUGAGUGUCAGAGCCCUGUGGGCCUCCUUCCUCCAUCUCUAUGCUGGGUGCGGUCUAGUGAUCUAGGAUGGUAUAGAAGUCUUGCAGCCCAGCCCACUCAUACUUACAGCCCUCUGCCUCUUUGAUACAGUACCUGAUCUACUACCACUCUUGUCUUUCAGCUCACAGUCCUCAGGCCCAUGACAAUCCACAGGAGAAGAGACUUGCAGCAGAUGACCCAGAGGUGCGGGUUCUACAUAGCAUCGGUCACAGUGCUGCCCCACGCCUCUUCCCACUUGCCUGGACUGUGCUGCUCCUUCCACUUCUGCUGCUGCAAACCCCGUGAAGGUGUAUGCCACACCUGGCCUUAAAGAGGGACAGGCUGAAGAGAGGGACAGGCACUCCAAACCUGUCUUGGGGCCACUUUCAGAGCCCCCAGCCCUGGGAACCACUCCCACCACAGGCAUAAGCUAUCACCUAGCAGCCUCAAAACGGGUCAGUAUUAAGGGUUUCAACCGGAAGGAGGCCAACCAGCCCGGCAGUGCCAUCCCCACCUUCACCUCGGAGGGAUGGAGAAAGAAGUGGAGACAGUCCUUUCCCACCAUUCCUGCCUUUAAGCCAAAGAAACAAGCUGUGCAGACAUGGUCCCUUAAGGCACAGUGGGAGCUGAGCUGGAAGGGGCCACGUGGAUGGGCAAAGCUUGUCAAAGAUGCCCCCUCCAGGAGAGAGCCAGUAUGCCCAGAUGAACUGACUGAAGGAAAAGCA